AGGGAAUUUUCGGCAAUGGGCGAAAGCCUGACCGAGCAACGCCGCGUGAGUGAUGAAGGUUUUCGGAUUGUAAAGCUCUGUUGUAAGGGAAGAACGUCCGUGUGAAAAACAUGGAGUGACGGUACCUUACCAGAAAGCCACGGCUAACUACGUGCCAGCAGCCGCGGUAAUACGUAGGUGGCGAGCGUUAUCCGGAAUUAUUGGGCGUAAAGGGUGCGUAGGCGGCCUGUUAGGUCGGGAGUCAAAUCCGGGGGCUCAACCCCCGCCCGCUCCCGAUACCGGCGGGCUUGAGUCUGGUAGGGGAAGGCGGAAUUCCAAGUGUAGCGGUGGAAUGCGCAGAUAUUUGGAAGAACACCGGUGGCGAAGGCGGCCUUCUGGGCCACGACUGACGCUGAGGCGCGAAAGCUAGGGGAGCGAACA
rnacentral:rRNA from 1 species